UCACUACUUGCGUAGGCAGUCUGGCUAGAGUCCCCACCAUUACGUGCUGGUAACUAACCACAGGGGUUGCGCUCGUUGCGCCACUUAAGGCAACACCUCACGGCACGAGCUGACGACAGCCAUGCAGCACCUUCCAUCGCGCCCCGAAGGGAAGCUCCGUUUCCGGAACCGUCACGACAGAUUUAGCCCAGGUAAGGUUCUUCGCGUUGCAUCGAAUUAAGCCACAUGCUCCACCGCUUGUGCGGGCCCCCGUCAAUUCCUUUGAGUUUCAUUCUUGCGAACGUACUCCCCAGGUGGUGUGCUUACUGCGUUAACUGCGUCACUGAUCCCGAAAGACCAACAACUAGCACACAUCGUUUACAGCGUGGACUAC
rnacentral:misc_RNA from 1 species